AUCAAUUUUGACUCUGACUCAGCUAUCACAGGAAGAACUUGACUAUCUCAGUGGGUGCCACUCGCUCUAGCCUUGAAUUGUACUGCAAAUAUGUGCCUGAAAGGUCCUGAAACAGAGCGAUGCAUCUAGAACAGGGCUGCACACAGCGAUGGCCCUCCGGCCCUCCAGAUGUCAUUAGACUACAACCCUCAUCAUCCCCAGCUACAAUGACAAAGAAGCUGCCACCGCCAUCUUGACAGCUCAAGCUGAAUUCCUACUCAACCCUUGCUGAGCUUGCUUAUUGCAGGGUGGCCAGGAUGGCUGGCUCUUAGCCAGUGUUCCCUCUAAGUUAAUUUUAGAUCCUGCUCAGGCUGAACCAGGAAGGCAGCCCCACUCUGAAUGCACAUGUGCACACACUGCCUUGAUACUGUUGCCCUAAACAAAACUCAGCAUGAACAGAUGAAAAAAAUUAGAGGGAACUCUGCUCUUAGGACACUAGAUCAUGGCUGAAGAGAGAGCCUUUCUGCCUGGCAUCUGCAUCUUCCAAAAAUCAUUGCUCUCAGCUUGAAUAUCACCCCAGAACUGUGCAACAUUGAGCUGCACCCCAGGAAAUCUGUGAGUAGAACUCAGAUGUGUAGAUUUUCAGCUGUAUACCUUAGC